UACGAGGGGGGGCAAGCGUUGUUCGGAAUUAUUGGGCGUAAAGGGCGCGUAGGCGGUGCGGUAAGUCACCUGUGAAAAACUCUGGGCUCAACUCAGAGCCUGCAGGCGAAACUGCCGUGCUUGAGUGUGGGAGAGGUGCGUGGAAUUCCCGGUGUAGCGGUGAAAUGCGUAGAUGAUCGGGAGGACACCUGUGGCGAAAGCGGCGCACUGGACCACAACUGACGCUGAGGCGCGAAAGCUAGGGGGAGCAAACAGG
rnacentral:rRNA from 1 species